CUGCCUUUUCUUGUACCUACUCUGUGAGUUCUUCUGUAUAUCUGUGAAGGAGAGAUUUAUAUUUGCUCGUUGUCAUUGUGCAGUUCUUUAAGCGCUCGGUGGAUCAGUAUGAGAGUGACUUGCAGUUUGUGGUCCAAUCUCUUUUACUUUCUAUGGAUGUAAACGAGCUCCAGCUUGUUAAAUCUGGUCUAUGCUAUGGAAAUUGUAUUCAUUAUGCUUUGGUGAAGCUUCUCAGAUCGUCGGGCUACAAUGCUGCAGUAUGUGCUUCAAAAUGGCAAGGUUGUAACAAGGUGCCUGGAGGUGCAUCCAGAGAAGUACCUGGAUAGUCUUCAAAGCAGCUCGACUGUUGCUCAAAUUGUGGAGGUUGCUUGAUAUGCAUUUGGAUCCACAGAACGGUAAGGAACCAAUGCUCAAUGCUGCAGUUCGCCUUCUUCAUAAUCACUAAGAGUCACUCGAUCCUCUGCAAGUCCUAGAGGUAUUUGACCAGGACCACGAUUAGAGCACGGGGUUUAUAAUCUGUCGCGACUAAGAGAAUCAGCAGCCACCGGAUUCAAGUCUUUUCACAUCCCUGUUCAUUGGAUGCUUGACACCGGAUUCGUCAGUCAGGUCUAUACUCCGAGGAAUACGUCUUAUGCUAGUGAGGAAAUUGAUGUGGUUCGUGAGCAAUGGGAUGCAAGUAUUUAUUAUUGGCCUAGGGGCGCUUGAUCGAGUUAGUUUAGAUAUUAUAGAACAAUCUUUUAUGUUAAAAUGUAUGCAUAUGUUGAAAAUGGAACAUACAUAUAUUUAAAUGUAUA